rnacentral:pre_miRNA from 1 species
AGUGCAAUUGCUGGGUCAUAUGGUAGUUCUAUUUUUAAUUUUUUGAGGAACCUCCAUACUAUUUUCCAGAGUGGCUGCACCAGCUUGCAUUCCCACCAGCAAU